GGGAUUGCCUCAGUAACGGCGAGUGAAGCGGCAACAGCUCAAAUUUGAAAUCUGGCCUUUGGUCCGAAUUGUAAUUUGUAGAGGAUGCUUUUGAUGCGGUACUUUCCGAGUUCCCUGGAACGGGACGCCUUAGAGGGUGAGAGCCCCGUACGGUUGGAUACCAAAUCUUUGUAUAGCUCCUUCGACGAGUCGAGUAGUUUGGGAAUGCUGCUCUAAAUGGGAGGUAAAUUUCUUCUAAAGCUAAAUACCGGCCAGAGACCGAUAGCGCACAAGUAGAGUGAUCGAAAGAUGAAAAGCACUUUGAAAAGAGGGUUAAAUAGCACGUGAAAUUGUUGAAAGGGAAGCGUUUAUGACCAGACUUUUUCCAAGUGGAUCAUCCGGUGUUCUCACCGGUGCACUUCGCUUGGUUUAGGCCAGCAUCGGUUUCCGUAGAGGGAUAAAAGCUUUAGGAAUGUGGCUCUUCGGAGUGUUAUAGCCUAUUGUAUAAUACCUUUAUGGGGACCGAGGUACGCGCAUUGCAAGGAUGCUGGCGUAAUGGUCAUCAACGA
rnacentral:rRNA from 1 species